GACGAACGCUGGCGGCGUGCUUAACACAUGCAAGUCGAACGGAAAGGCCUGCUUUCCCUUGUGGAUUGCGGGUACUCGAGUGGCGAACGGAUGAGUAACACGUGAGUGAUCUGCCCCCAACUUGGGUAUAAGCCUGGGAAACUGGGUCUAAUUCCCGAUAGGACUGCAGGGUGGUGCCUGUGGUGGAAAACGAUUUUCUAGUGGUUGGGGAUGAGCUCGCGGCCUAUCAGCUUGUUGGUGGGGUAAUGGCCUACCAAGGCGGCGACGGGUAGCCGGCCUGAGAGGGUGGACGGCCACAUUGGGACUGAGAUACGGCCCAGACUCCUACGGGAGGCAGCAGUGGGGAAUAUUGCACAAUGGGCGGAAGCCUGAUGCAGCGACGCCGCGUGGGGGAUGACGGCCUUCGGGUUGUAAACUCCUUUCGACCGCGAGGAAGCCACCUGGUUGGAAGGGUGGUGACGGUAGUGGUAGAAAAAGCACCGGCUAACUACGUG
rnacentral:rRNA from 1 species